UGCAAAUUAGCACAUAAAUACAGAAAGAAAUGACUGUGAAACUUGUGUUGGGGAGGAUUCAAUGUCUGUUGAGGCACAUGUGAAUGUGCUACAAAGUGAAACACAUCCAGACACAUGGACUGUCAAAGACCACAUGACAGGAACAUUCUCCUGGAGACGCUGAGAAAGCACGGAAGGAAUGUUUGAGGAGGAUGUACUCAAAAAAUACACAUACUUCAGGACACCUACUGGAGUAUGGUUGACUGGAAGUCUGUCAGUCCAGAUGUGAGGAGGACACACAGAGUGGAGCUGGAGCUCAGCAGAUGUGUGAUGCUGUAGAUACUGUGGUCUUGGAAAGAAGGGCAUCUUCACAGCUUUCUUUUCAGACAAAGAGUUUGCUGGAUUCUGUUCUAUGGACUGCUACUACAGAAUGAAUUAAUGAAUGAGUGGUCUAUCUAUCUAUCUAUCUAUCUAUCUAUCUAUCUAUCUAUCUAUCUAUCUAUCUAUCUAUCUAUCUAUCUUUUUACUUGAAUUGGUAACUGAAACUGAAAGCUAAAUAAAUGUUUUAGUGGAUAAAGCUGUGUCUGUUUGCUUAAUUGGUUAAUGUCACUUAAAACAAGGUUACUAAACUCUUCUGACUAAUUUUUAAAUUUAUUAGUUUUUCUUUUUUUUUUUUA